AUUGAACGCUGGCGGCAUGCCUUACACAUGCAAGUCGAACGGCAGCACGGGAGCAAUCCUGGUGGCGAGUGGCGAACGGGUGAGUAAUAUAUCGGAACGUGCCCAGUCGUGGGGAUAACGUAGCGAAAGCUACGCUAAUACCGCAUACGAUCUAUGGAUGAAAGCGGGGGAUCGCAAGACCUCGCGCGAUUGGAGCGGCCGAUAUCAGAUUAGGUAGUUGGUGAGGUAAAGGCUCACCAAGCCGACGAUCUGUAGCUGGUCUGGA
rnacentral:rRNA from 1 species